UGGGGAGUACGGCCGCAAGGCUAAAACUCAAAGGAAUUGACGGGGACCCGCACAAGCGGCGGAGCAUGCGGAUUAAUUCGAUGCAACGCGAAGAACCUUACCAAGGCUUGACAUAUAGAGGAAACGUCUGGAAACAGUCGCCCCGCAAGGUCUCUAUACAGGUGGUGCAUGGUUGUCGUCAGCUCGUGUCGUGAGAUGUUGGGUUAAGUCCCGCAACGAGCGCAACCCUCGCUCUAUGUUGCCAGCACGUAAUGGUGGGAACUCAUGGGAUACUGCCGGGGUCAACUCGGAGGAAGGUGGGGAUGACGUCAAAUCAUCAUGCCCCUUAUGUCUUGGGCUUCACGCAUGCUACAAUGGCCGGUACAAAGGGCUGCAAUACCGUACGGUGGAGCGAAUCCCAAAAAGCCGGUCCCAGUUCGGAUUGAGGUCUGCAACUCGACCUCAUGAAGUCGGAGUCGCUAGUAAUCGCAGAUCCAGCAACGCUGCGGUGAAUACGUUCCCGGGUCUUGUACACACCGCCCGUCAAGUCAUGAAAGUCGGUAACACCUGAA
rnacentral:rRNA from 1 species